AAUGAGUGAUGACAAAAUGUUUCGGUCCCAAAUGAUACAUAUUGAUUAUACCGCUACAUUUACUUCUGACAUU
rnacentral:snoRNA from 12 species